rnacentral:rRNA from 1 species
UACGUAGGGGGCAAGCGUUGUCCGGAUUCAUUGGGCGUAAAGAGCGUGUAGGCGGCCAGGUAGGUCGGUUGUGAAAACUGGAGGCUCAACCUUCAGAGGUCGACCGAAACCAUCUGGCUAGAGUCCGGGAGAGGAGAGUGGAAUUCCUGGUGUAGCGGUGAAAUGCGCAGAUAUCAGGAGGAACACCAAUGGCGAAGGCAGCUCGCUGGAACGGAACUGACGCUGAGGCGCGAAAGCGUGGGGAGCGAACAGG